GUGACAUCUUGUUUAUCCUGAAAUGUGAAGGUGCUGAAGCUUGACACCUUUAUUUGCCAUCAUGAAAAGAAUCUGAAAGGGAGAAAGAGGAAAACUGACUGAUUGCUGAGAAUCUUCUAUCGUUGAGCGGGCUAGAAGCUGGGGUGAAAAAAAGAACUCCAAAGUCAGGACACUGUUGGAGCCUCGGCAUCAGUGUCCCACAGGUGUAACCGGAGCUGCACAAGCAAGACACGACCACCGUGGCCGCGCACAGAUGGGGAAACUGAGACCCCCAGAGGUGAAAGGAGUAGUUCAAGCUAUCCUGAAAGCUAGUGACCAACCUGGGGCGAACCAAACUUGUCUCCAUUCUGAUCUCCUGCUGCCUGAAACAGACUGACAACCGCUCCUUCCUCUGAUCUGCAAACCAGCUGUGGGGACAGCUGGGGAGUGAGAAUCCACGUGAUGAGGCAGCCAGUGGUGGGAUCUUGUUUGCCUGUUUCUGCAGGGCCCGAGGGAGUCCCUGCCUUCCUCAAGGGCAGACAUCAGAGCCUGCCUGCAGAGUGGCCAGCUGCAGCCAGGACGCCAAGGCUUUAGUCCCUGCCUGAUCUUGCAGACUCAAAACAGGAACUGAAGGCAAUGCCCACAAGAAGCCCACAGCAGCUGAGAAAGCUUCCUCCGGCCCUAGCACACGUCCUGGGGACAGGAGGCUGGAGCCGUCCUCACUGCUCACAGUCAGGCUCUGCCAACAGAAGAGAGGCAUUUAAGCCUCCUUCGUGAGGCACAAUUCCAAACACACACUAGUUUCAUUUUCCUAAUGACAGCAUUUCUAGUUCUCAGCACCAAUAAAUUGCUUCUAGAGUAUCACUUGCUUCAAAAUAGUUCCCCUUUUCUCUGUCUCUGGGGCAGGAGACAGUUCAGAAGCCUCAUCUAUGCUGAAGGCAACCUCAUUCCUUGGCUUCUCUAGGGGAGACCAGGGUAGACCAGAUGUUUUUUUUUUUAAAGUAAGCUUCCUGCCCGUCCCUCCCUAGGAUCCUGUGUCCAUGUUCAAUUUAUUUAUCAGCUGUGAGUGGAAGCCACGGCACAGGGCACUGGGCAGAACUCCUUACAGAGGGAUGGCCGGGGGUAGAGAUGUCCUCUGCAGGCUAGUCCUGACUUUUCUCCACAGCUGAAGGCCUUGGAACAGAGUCCUUGUCUCUCUGUAGUUCACAUAUCUCACUUGUCAAAAUAGAAGAUUAGAAAUGACAGGGAUGUGGUGUACAGUUGGCAGUUUGCCAUGGCACGGUUUGGGGUGCAGGUGGCAGCCAUGUAAGCUGUGAUGUGAAUGGCAUCCUCUCCAGUUGUUCAAUGCCCAUCUGCACACCCAAGCAAAAUGGCCCGGGUGAUGGCCCACUGGUAAUCAGGAGUCUACACGCAAAAUGUUUCCAGGUGUUCUCACUGGCACCGAGGAAAUCCAGGAUCCCCAUUGGCCUGGCUGGUGAAUUAGUGGUUAAAGAGCGAGAGCUCUGGAUCAGAGAUUCUGGUUUUGAAGCUCAGCUCUGCCACUUCCCAGCUUGGGGUCUUGGACAAGUUAAAUAUAGUAAGUUCUCAAUAAAUAUUAGCAAAUUCAUCAUUAUUAC